ACCCCUGCCUGCCUUUUGACUCUGACUAAAGACAAUCUUUUAUCCCUAUCACCUUAGUUUAUGAGUCUGGUGUUUGUGUCCAAACCUGCUGCCACACAGCACUGAGACAAAUCUGGAUUUGAUAAACAGUGACUUCUCAGCUGUAACUGUCCUGUAAUAAUGCAACAUUAUGGAAAGGAUCUCUACAGAACACACGGACAUGGGAAAAUAAGGUCCAGGGUGAAAAAGAAGAAGUUAUCCUUUAAGGAUUUGAAUUUAGUAGGAAGGAGAGCACUGUGAGGAGCAUGUGGUUCACUUCAAGCAGGAAUGGGGGUUGUCGCCAUUCAGUGGUCG